GCCGCCCCUCCCCUUCCACCCUAGCCGUCGGGCGCCACCGUGCAACGGCGAGCCCGCCCUCCUAUCCCCCUCUCCUCUCCAUGGUCCUCGGCAGAGGCAGCACAAGCGACCGCCGCACCACGCAAGAGAGCGUCCUCUCAGGCCACAUCGGGGAGGACCAGGACGUCGUGUUGUGGAUCGUGUGCUGCCAAGACGGUCGUCCUUGGCCACCUGUGCGACGACCUGCGUGUCGCCGCUGUCACCAUCGGCGCAGGGCCAAAAGGAGACGGCCGCACGCCAGCAUCACCAGGAGGAGCAACAGGGAGUAGCGACGGCCACCGAGAUGGCCGUCCACGUCGCCAUUGUCGUCGUCCUUCAUGUGCUCUUCCUCUUGCUCUCGCCUGCCCCUCCUAGCUAUCUGCUGUGUACAUGUUCCUGAUUUGUUCAUCAUCUGGCAGCUGAAUCGGCGAGCUAUGACACGUUCGAUGUGCACAUUAAUUGCUGUCACCGAAGAGCUCCUCCGCCUUGUGCUCUCCUCCUCAAGUUGCCAGCCACCCUCGAUCUACUGCUCCUCCUAUCACCACACCUCCCCAACCUCCUCGACUAGUUGAAGAGUUGUAUUUGGAACAUUGCCAUCUCUAGCCGACCUGCGCAAGCAGAAAGCUGAGCAGGAGCAGCUCGGGGAUGAAGCCAAGGUUUAAAAUGCCGAAUCUCCCAAUAGUGAUGCAUGAUGACAAAGUUGUGUACUAAGCAGCAAAAUGAGGCCAAGAGCCUGAUGGCGCAUCGUCCAAGAACCAGGCAAAACACCACUGUCAAUGUGAGUAACGACGAGCGAAUGGGCGGCAGCGUCGCGCACAAUGGCAUGAUGAUCAGAUCGGCAACGUGACGAUUGUUGUGUGGGAUUCUAUGUCAAUCUUUUCUCUGGAACUUUUGUUUUGUCGAUUCAAAUUAUUUAAGAAAUUGUGAAAUUUUGUGUCUUCUGUAAGUAAAUGUCAGAGUCUUUUGUAUAUUAAGUAAUUCUCAGAAGGUUGCCAACGAACUUAUUAUUUUAGUGUUAUUCUAAAUCUUGAAACUUUUGGUGCAUUAUAUGCUACAUAUUAUAUGAAAUGCAUCAAUGGAAUGUAUUGAAUCUUCGCGACUUU